AUUGAACGCUGGCGGUAGGCCUAACACAUGCAAGUCGAGCGAGCGGCGGACGGGUGAGUAAUGUCUGGGAAACUGCCUGAUGGAGGGGGAUAACUACUGGAAACGGUAGCUAAUACCGCAUACCAUCAGAUGUGCCAAGUUGGGAUUAGCUAGUAGGUCGGGUAACGGCUCACCUAGGCGACGAUCCGUAGCUGGUUUGAGAGGCCGAACAGCCACACUGGGACUGAGACACGGCCCAGACUCCUACGGGAGGCAGCAGUGGGGAAUCUUGCGCAAUGGGGGAAAGCCUGACCGAGCCAUGCCGCGUGUGUGAUGAAGGCCUUCGGGUUGUAAAGCACUUUUGGCAGGAAAGCGGUACCUGCAGAAUAAGCACCGGCUAACUACGUGCCAGCCGCCGCGGUAAUAC
rnacentral:rRNA from 1 species